AACGAACGCUGGCGGCAGGCUUAACACAUGCAAGUCGAGCAAGACCUUCGGGUCUAGCGGCGGACGGGUGAGUAACGCGUGGGAACGUGCCCUUCUCUACGGAAUAGCCCCGGGAAACUGGGAGUAAUACCGUAUACGCCCUUUGGGGGAAAGAUUUAUCGGAGAAGGAUCGGCCCGCGUUGGAUUAGGUAGUUGGUGGGGUAAUGGCCCACCAAGCCGACGAUCCAUAGCUGGUUUGAGAGGAUGAUCAGCCACACUGGGACUGAGACACGGCCCAGACUCCUACGGGAAGCAGCAGUGGGGAAUCUUAGACAAUGGGGGCAACCCUGAUCUAGCCAUGCCGCGUGAGUGAUGAAGGCCUUAGGGUUGUAAAGCUCUUUCAGCUGGGAAGAUAAUGACGGUACCAGCAGAAGAAGCCCCGGCUAACUCCGUG
rnacentral:rRNA from 1 species